rnacentral:rRNA from 1 species
UACGUAGGGGGCAAGCGUUGUCCGGAUUUAUUGGGCGUAAAGAGCGUGUAGGCGGCUUGGCAAGUCUGCUGUGAAAACUCGAGGCUCAACCUCGAGAUGUCGGCGGAAACUGCCUGGCUAGAGUCCGGAAGAGGAGAGUGGAAUUCCUGGUGUAGCGGUGAAAUGCGCAGAUAUCAGGAAGAACACCUAUGGCGAAGGCAGCUCUCUGGGACGGUACUGACGCUGAGACGCGAAAGCGUGGGGAGCGAACAGG